rnacentral:rRNA from 1 species
UACGUAGGGGGCGAGCGUUGUCCGGAAUCAUUGGGCGUAAAGAGCUCGUAGGCGGUUCAGCAAGUCGGCUGUGAAAUUCCGAGGCUCAACCUCGGAAUUGCAGUCGAUACUGCUGUGACUCGAGUCCGGUAGAGGAGAAUGGAAUUCCCGGUGUAGCGGUGAAAUGCGCAGAUAUCGGGAGGAACACCAGUAGCGAAGGCGGUUCUCUGGGCCGGUACUGACGCUGAGGAGCGAAAGCGUGGGGAGCAAACAGG